AGUAAUGUCUGGGAAACUGCCUGAUGGAGGGGGAUAACUACCGGAAACGGUAGCUAAUACCGCAUAAUGUCGCAAGACCAAAGUGGGGGACCUUCGGGCCUCAUGCCAUCAGAUGUGCCCAGAUGGGAUUAGCUAGUAGGUGGGGUAACGGCUCACCUAGGCGACGAUCCCUAGCUGGUCUGAGAGGAUGACCAGCCACACUGGAACUGAGACACGGUCCAG
rnacentral:rRNA from 1 species